CUGUCUUCCAGCCACCCUUCUUCCACUUUCUAAAAAGACUGUGUGCCUCUCUCCCAUCCUGAAGCUUAGCGGGGUGUCCUGAUCACUAGUAUAUGUCACCGGCCCCAGUAAGCAUUGGAGUUCUUUACUCAAGGGGCUACUAGAGGGCACUACACUGCUGUAGAUGAUCAUCUGGUGAUUUUUUUCCUAUUUGUUAAUAUGAUGAAUUACAUCAUCAUUCUCAGAAAUAAGAAGGAAUAAACUAUACUGAUACAUAGGACAACUCAAAUGAUCAUCAAAGACAUGCUGAGUGAAAGAACCCUAUCUCAAAAGGUCACAUAUUGCAAGGAGCCAUGGAAAUCUAAGGAAAUCCAGACUGGUCAUCAGAGACCACGGGGACUGACUUCAGGCCCUCCUGUCUUCACUGCUUAGUAUCAACAGGGCUCCCUUCCUCCAGCCCUGCUCUCCCCAGCACGUGCUCCCGUGUUUCCAGGGCCAUCCCUCUAAAUGCAGAUCUGACCGUGUCACUGUCUUCUUCAAGGCCUCUCAUGGCUCCUUCUGCACAAGAAAGCACAUCGCUCAGCACCUUGCCAGUCUGAUCACCAUCCAGCUUCACCUGCACCACCUGUCGGUGCCCAACUCCCCCUCAUAACAGGAUCCAGGGACAUUUGGCUUUUUGAGCUUCUUGCACACAUGGUGCUCUCAAGCCUCAGAUCCAAGCUGCUCCUGCUGUCUGGAAUGGCUCUUCCCCACCCAACCUCAUCCUGCCUGUGUCACCAGCAAGCUCCUGUAACUCCUUCAGAGUCCAGGUGAGGUGUCACCUUGCUGGGGAAGCUGUCUUCAAUACUGUUAGGGACUGAACUGUGUUCCCCAAAAUGCAUAUGUUGAAAUCCUAACCACCAGCCCCUAAGAAUGUGACUUUGUUUAGAGAUAGGGCCUUUUGAAAGAUGAUUAAGUUAAAAUGGGGUCAUUAAGGUGGGCCCUAAUCUAAUCUGAUUGGUGUCCUUAUAAGAAGAAGACAUUGGGACCCACAGAGAGAGACACCUGGAAUGUGCACGUGCAGAGGAAGGACCACGUGAGAUGACAGUGAGAAGGCAGCCACCAGCAAGCCAAGGAGAGAGUCCUCAGGAGAAGCCCGCCCUGCUGACACAGUGAUCUUAGACUUCCAGGCUCCAGAACUGUGAGAAAUAAAUUUCUGUUGUUUAAGCCAUUCAUUUAUUGGUAUUUUAUUAUGUAGCCCAGGCAAACCAAUACAGAUACCCAUAGAGCAGCCUUGAUUUAGGCUUUCAACAUAACAUAUAUGCCAUCUUUUUGGCAUCUCCUAUCAGGCAGGGCUAAGAAACACUCUUUAUGCUUUACCCUAAACCCUAUGUGGCUACUGUAAACAUGUGUUAAUAAAUGUCAUCAAGAGCUGUCUAGGGACACAUUCUCCUCCAAGUCUGUAUUAUUUUUUUUAAUGUAUGUAAAUGUUACAUUCUACUCUCUAUAAUGUCUAUCUAUAAAAAUGCUUUAUAAUUUAA